UACGGAGGGUGCAAGCGUUAUCCGGAUUCACUGGGUUUAAAGGGUGCGUAGGCGGGCAGGUAAGUCCGUGGUGAAAUCUCUGAGCUUAACUCAGAAACUGCCAUGGAUACUAUUUGUCUUGAAUAUUGUGGAGGUAAGCGGAAUAUGUCAUGUAGCGAUGAAAUGCUUAGAUAUGACAUAGAACACCAAUUGCGAAGGCAGCUUACUACACAGUUAUUGACGCUGAGGCACGAAAGCGUGGGGAUCAAACAGG
rnacentral:rRNA from 1 species